rnacentral:rRNA from 1 species
ACGACUGCUAAGACUGGAUAGGAGAUAAGAAGGCAUCUUUUUAUUUUUAAAAGACCUAGCAAUAGGUAUGCUUAGGGAAGAGCUUGCGUCACAUUAGUUAGUUGGUGGGUAAUGGCCUACCAAGACGAUGAUGUGUAGCCGGGCUGAGAGGUCGAACGGCCACAUUGGGACUGAGACACGGCCCAAACUCCUACGGGAGGCAGCAGUAAGGAAUUUUCGGCAAUGGAGGAAACUCUGACCGAGCAAUGCCGCGUGAACGAUGAAGUAUUUCGGUACGUAAAGUUCUUUUAUUAGGGAAGAAAAGAUGGUGGAAAAACCAUUAUGACGGUACCUAAUGAAUAAGCCCCGGCUAACUAUGUGCCAGCAGCCGCGGUAAUACAUAGGGGGCAAGCGUUAUCCGGAAUUAUUGGGCGUAAAGGGUGCGUAGGCGGUUAAAUAAGUUUAUGGUCUAAGUGCAACGCUCAACGUUGUGAUGCUAUAAAAACUGUUUAGCUAGAGUUGGAUAGAGGCAAGUGGAAUUCCGUGUGUAGUGGUAAAAUGCGUAAAUAUACGGAGGAACACCAGAAGCGAAGGCGGCUUGCUGGGUCUUAACUGACGCUGAGGCACGAAAGCGUGGGGAGCAAACAGGAUUAGAUACCCUGGUAGUCCACGCCCUAAACGAUGAGUACUAAACGUUGGAUAAAACCAGUGUUGAAGUUAACACAUUAAGUACUCCGCCUGAGUAGUACGUACGCAAGUAUGAAACUUAAAGGAAUUGACGGGACUCCGCACAAGCGGUGGAUCAUGUUGUUUAAUUCGAAGGUACCCGAAAAACCUCACCAGGUCUUGACAUGCUUUUGCAAAGCUGUAGAAAUACAGUGGAGGUUAUCAGAAGCACAGGUGGUGCAUGGUUGUCGUCAGCUCGUGUCGUGAGAUGUUGGGUUAAGUCCCGCAACGAGCGCAACCCUUGUUGUUAAUUGCCAUCAUUAAGUUGGGGACUUUAGCAAGACUGCCAAUGAUAAAUUGGAGGAAGGUGGGGACGACGUCAAAUCAUCAUGCCCCUUAUGACCUGGGCUACAAACGUGAUACAAUGGCUGUUACAAAGGGUAGCUAAAGCGUAAGCUUCUGGCGAAUCUCAAAAAAGCAGUCUCAGUUCGGAUUGAAGUCUGCAACUCGAYUUCAUGAAGUUGGAAUCGCUAGUAAUCGCGAAUCAGCAUGUCGCGGUGAAUACGUUCUCGGGGUUUGUACACACCGCCCGUCA